GGCAACCUGCUGGGGUCUCCUUCCGCAUUGUGGCUGCUUUGUUCUUUCGCUCUUUGCAGUAAAUCUUGCUACUGCUCAGUCUUUGGGUCCACGCUGCUUUUAUGAGCUGUAACACUCACCGCGAAGAUCUGCAGUUUCACUCCUGAACCCAGCAAGACCACGAGCCCACCGGGAGAAACAAACAACUCCAGACGUGCUACCUUAAGAGCUGUAACACUCACCGUGAAGGUCUGCAGCUUCACUCCUGGAGCCAGUGAGCCCACGAGCCCACCGGGAGGAACGAAAGACUCCAGACGCGCUGCCUUAAGGGCUGUAACACUAACCGUGAAGGUCUGUAGCUUCACUCCUCAGCCAGCGAGACCACGAACCCACCAGAAGGAAGAAACUCCAAACACAUCUGAACAUCAGAAGGGGCAGACUCCAGACGCGCCACCUUAAGAGCUGUAACACUCACCGCGAGGGUCCGUGGCUUCAUUCUUGAAGUCAGUGAGAGCAAGAACCCACCAAUUCCGGACACACUUCCACAUCUUCAGGUAUCUUUAUAGCAAUCCCCCACUCCUCCAUCCCAACUUCCUGUAUUAGUUUGUUCUGCAUUGCUAUAAAGGAAUACCUGAGACUGUUAUAAAGAGAUGUAUUUGGCUCAUAGUUGUGCAGGCUUCUAGGUGAGGGCCUCAGGAAGUUUACAACCAUGGCCAAUGGUGAAGGGGAGCCAGUGUGUCACAUGGCAAGAGAGAGAAGAGAAAGUUCCAGGCUCUUUUUAACAACCAGCUCUUGCAGGAACUCAUUACUGUGGGGAAAGCACCAAGCCCCUCAUGAGGAAUCCACCCCCAUAACCUAAAUCCCUCCCACCAGGCCCCACCUCCAACACUGGGGAUCACUUUCAACAUGAGAUUUGGAGACAAAACAUCCAAGCCAUAACAAGGUAGUUUAUAGUUUUCAAAGAAUUGGUCCAUUCAUCUAAGUUAAAUUAAUGUGCAUAGGCUGGGCACGGUGGUCCACACCUGUAAUCCCAGUACUUUGGGAGGCUGAGGUGAGUGGAUUACCUGAGAUCAGGAGUUUGAGAUCAGACCCGUCACCAGGGUGAAACCCUCUCUCUACUAAAAAUACGAAAAUUAGUAGGGCAGGGUCGUGGGCACCUGUAAUCCCAGCUACUUGGGAGGCUGAGGCAGGAGAAUCGCUUGAACCCAGGAGGUAAAGGUUGCAGUGAGCUGAGAUUGCAUCACUGCACUCCAGCCUGGGCGACAGAGAAAAAAAAAAGAGGCUAGGCGCGGUGGUUCGUGCCUGUAGCGCCUGUAAUCCCAACACUUUGGGAGACCGAGGUAAGCAGAUCACCUGAUGUCAGUUCAAGACCAGCCUGGGCAACAUGAUGAAACUCCAUCUCUACUAAAAAUACAAAAAUUAGCCGGUCGUGGUGGCGUGUGCCUGUAAUCCCAGCUACACGGGACGCUAAGGUGGGAGAAUCACUUGAACCUGGGAGGCGGAGGUUAUGUAGUGAGCCAAGAUUGCAUCAUUGCACUUCAGCCUGGGCAAAAAGAGCGAAACUCCGUUUCAAAAAAAAAAAUGAGGCCAAGUGCAGUAGCUCACGCCUGUAAUCCCAGCACUUUGGGAGGCUGAGGCGGGCGGAUCACCUGAGGUCGGAAGUUCAAGACCAGCCUGGCCAACAUGGAGAAACCCCGUCUCUACUAAAAAUACAAAAAUUAGCCGGGCGUGGUGGUGGGCGCCUGUAGUCCCAGCUACUCAGGAGGCUGAGGCAGGAGAAUUGCUUGAACCCCGGGGGCGGAGGAUGCAGUGAGCCAAGAUCACGCCAUUGCACUCCAGCCUGGGCAACAGAGAGAGAUCCUGGGAGGCAGAGGUUGCGGUGAGUCGAGAUCAUGCCAUUGCACUCCAGCCUGGGCAACAAGAGAGAAAUUCUGCCUCAAAAAAAAAAAUAAUAAUGUGGAUAGAUAAUUUAUUCUCAUCCAUUAGUUCUAUUAGUUCACUAAUUCUCCCUGAAGCUGCACUAAUCUGCUGUUAAAGCCACCGAUUGAUGGGUUUAGUUAUUAUACUUUUCAUUUCUGAAACUUCUACUUGGUCUUCUAAAUAACUCCCAUUUCACUUAUUCCCGUAACUGUUACCUGUGGAUAUUUUCAAGUUCAUUUAUUUCUUUGACAAUAGUAAUAUGGCCAACUGCUGGUGGUGCACACCUGUAAUCCUAGCUACCCAGGAGGCUGCAGCAGGAGGAUCAUUGAGCCCAGGGGUUCAAAUCUAGCCUGGGCAACAUAGCAAAACCUCACCU
rnacentral:lncRNA from 1 species